rnacentral:ncRNA from 1 species
CUCUUAUCCAGAGAGGCGGAGGGACUGGCCCUACGAUGCCCGGCAACCAGCAAGUACACACACUUGACAAGGUGCCAAAUCCUGCAAAGCGAUAGGCUUUGAAAGAUGAGAG